rnacentral:rRNA from 1 species
GGCUCAGGAUGAACGCUGGCGGCGUGCCUAAUACAUGCAAGUCGAACGCACAGCGAAAGGUGCUUGCACCUUUCAAGUGAGUGGCGAACGGGUGAGUAACACGUGGACAACCUGCCUCAAGGCUGGGGAUAACAUUUGGAAACAGAUGCUAAUACCGAAUAAAACUUAGUGUCGCAUGACAAAAAGUUAAAAGGCGCUUCGGCGUCACCUAGAGAUGGAUCCGCGGUGCAUUAGUUAGUUGGUGGGGUAAAGGCCUACCAAGACAAUGAUGCAUAGCCGAGUUGAGAGACUGAUCGGCCACAUUGGGACUGAGACACGGCCCAAACUCCUACGGGAGGCUGCAGUAGGGAAUCUUCCACAAUGGGCGAAAGCCUGAUGGAGCAACGCCGCGUGUGUGAUGAAGGCUUUCGGGUCGUAAAGCACUGUUGUAUGGGAAGAACAGCUAGAAUAGGAAAUGAUUUUAGUUUGACGGUACCAUACCAGAAAGGGACGGCUAAAUACGUGCCAGCAGCCGCGGUAAUACGUAUGUCCCGAGCGUUAUCCGGAUUUAUUGGGCGUAAAGCGAGCGCAGACGGUUUAUUAAGUCUGAUGUGAAAGCCCGGAGCUCAACUCCGGAAUGGCAUUGGAAACUGGUUAACUUGAGUGCAGUAGAGGUAAGUGGAACUCCAUGUGUAGCGGUGGAAUGCGUAGAUAUAUGGAAGAACACCAGUGGCGAAGGCGGCUUACUGGACUGCAACUGACGUGAGCUC